AUUGAACGCUGGCGGCAGGCCUAACACAUGCAAGUCGAGCGAGCGGCGGACGGGUGAGUCAUGUCUGGGGAACUGCCUGAUGGAGGGGGAUCACUACUGGAAACGGUAGCUAAUACCGAAUAACAUCAGAAGAGCUCAGAUGGGAUUAGCUAGUAGGUGGGGUAAUGGCUCACCUAGGCGACGAUCCCUAGCUGGUCUGAGAGGAUGACCAGCCACACUGGAACUGAGACACGGUCCAGACUCCUACGGGAGGCAGCAGUGGGGAAUAUUGCACAAUGGGCGCAAGCCUGAUGCAGCCAUGCCGCGUGUAUGAAGAAGGCCUUCGGGUUGUAAAGUACUUUCAGUCGGGAGGCGUUACCGACAGAAGAAGCACCGGCUAACUCCGUGCCAGCAGCCGCGGUAAUUC
rnacentral:rRNA from 1 species